rnacentral:lncRNA from 1 species
CAGGCACUGAUGAACGAGCGAGUAAAUGCAUGCUUCUGCACCUGGCAGUUUCCGGACACCUUCCAAGCUCAGAUUCUGCCUCUGCUCUGCCUCUUGGGAUGACUGCUUGAUUAAUGAGCUCCCAUUCAUAAAGCUUUCUGAUGAGGAAUACGCGCCAUGGCUGUAAGUGGCUUACACAUGGACUUUGGACUUUUGAGUUGAUGCUGGAAUGAGUUAACACUUUUGUGACUAUUGGGAUAGAAUGAUUAUAUUUUUAUACCCAAGAAAGCAAGAAAGGCAUAAGUUUUAGAGGGCCAGGAGCAGAAUGCUAUGGUUUGGAUGUGGUUUGUCCUCACAAAAACUCAUGCUGCAGCUUAAUUGCCAGUCUGGCAAUGUUGAGAGGCCUCUGUGUUCAGAGAAGAGGGCAGAAAGAACUGCUGAAAUAAGGAAGAUGAAAUCCCACUCCAGAACAUUCCAAACUAAUGACUUGGGAUAGGAUCUUUCUGCUUGAAAGAGUCAUAAAGAAAAAAAGAUACAAUAGAUUGAGGAAGGAGGAAGAGGGCCGAGCAAGGGUGUGAUUGAGUCCCAAUGAGAAGAUCCCUGAAAGAACAAGGAAAUAUCACAGAAAGAAUGACUGUGACUGGAGCAAAAAGGACAUUUAUAGUCUUCCAAGCAGACCAUGCCCUUGUUGGUAAAGUAAUAGUAGAGACUACUGUACCCUAAGAUGAAAUCUGGAAAUUAGAGAGGCCAUGCAGGCUGGAACAAGGGACAUUUCAAUAGUGACUUCUGUGGGUUAAUAUCCAAGAAUCUAAGCCCCCCUCAACCAAAAACUGUUCUUCAGUUAUAAGACCUGCCAAAAACUGGCACAACCCUAGGGAAGUGAGGGUCAUAGGAGGUGGAUCCCAAAAAACUGUGGUUAAAGUUUCUCCCAGUCAACAUGGUAGUAUCUAAACAAUAAUAAAGUGUGAGUUAUUUGAAAAUAAUGUGAUAUUUGGGAACAUUCCUGUCUUUGUAUGACAAUUAUUACCAUCUAGGAAAUCUACCAUGAAGAUCAUUGCUAUAGUCAUUGGAGGGGGAACAGUGCCUGCCACAGUCUCCAUUCCUAUUGUAGUUGGGCCCAUUCUCAAACUGGAGGCACCUCAACCCCAGACAGAUAAAGGCCAAAGAAAAAGAUGAUGUGAUAUUUUCCUGCCUUUUCCCCACCUUCACAAUGACAUGGCUUUGGUAUUAUUUCUUAAAAUCAAGCAAAAACUCAUUAAAUAUGGGCAGUGGGUCAUCAGCCAGUCUGUGGGAGAGGUCUAUAUAAGAUAGGGGAUAUUUCAGAUGUCCCUGACAUGUCACCUUUUCUCUGUUCUCAGGCAGUUGCUACCUGAUAUAGUUUGGAUAUUUGUCCCCACUCAAAUACCAUGUUGAACUGUAAUCCCCAAUAUUGGGGGUGGGGCCUAGUGGGAGGUGUUUGCAUUAUGGUGGCAGAUCCUUCAUGGCUUGCUGCUGUCUUGAUGCUGAUAGUGAGUUCUGGCAAGAUUUGAUCAAUUAAAAGUGUGUGGCACCUCCCCCCAUGCACUCUCUCUCUUUCUUGCUCCUGCUUUCAUCAUGUGACAUGAAAGCUCCAGCUUCACCUUCCACCAUGAGUAAAAACCCCCUGAGACUUCGCCAGAAGCUGAGUAAUGUUGACGCUAUGCUUCUUGCACAGCCUUCAGAACCAUGAACCAAUUAAUCCUGUUUUCUUUAUAAAUUAUCCAGUCUCAGGUAUUUCUUUAUAGCAAUGCAAGAAUGGACUAACACACCACCCAUGGCAGCUACUUCCUCUUCUGCUCAGAGGAGAAGUCUGACUCUAAUUCAAAAGACACAGCCAAUUUCCAUCAUCCUCAGCACUGUUCUCUGCCACCCUGCCCUGGCACAGGGACAUUUCCCAGAGAGAAGGUCUAAAAUGUUUCUGCAUGACUGCUUGGCACAAGUUGAUACUGCAGGACUUAGAAUUUUGGGAGAGCAAAUGACAACAUAUGUACAUAUUUAAACUUCUCUUGCAGGGAGAGAAAAGAUUCUCAUCUUUGAAAGUGACAGCUGUCUCAGGAAAUACCACUGGCCUGGUCAUAAAAGGCCAUGGGCCUGGAGGUCAAAUAAAAUUUGUUAAGUGGUGUAUUCUCUGUACCAAGCUAGAGGUGGCCUUUGGGUGACAAUCAUAAGUGGUGGGCUAGGUAAUUACCUGCAACAUACAUAAAAACAAACAAAAAUAUUUACCUCUCUCUUCGACUUCUCCUUCUAUUCCUCCACGCUCCCCAAAAGGAUGAGAAAAUAAAAGGAUAAAGAGAAACAAAAAACAACAAAACUAUGUGUAGAAUUUUACCAUCUCAGUCUGUAUGCUACCAAGCUAGUUGGAGGAAUUGCAUCCGCUCACAGCAUGGACCAAAGUAAUUGAAUUCCAUCCAAAUUUGAAUGAGGGCCUUGUCUGAUGAGGUUUUGGCCUCUGUCAAAAGAGGAAGUGACAGCUGGGAGAAGUGACCAGGUAUGCAGUAGAAUCACCAGAUUUCAUAAGAAUGGAUGUGGUUUAGUGAUUUACAGAGCACCAGAACCUUGCCUUGAAGAUCCCAGGAAUAAAUACGCAACAAAAACUGUGUAAACAGACAGAGAAAGAAAAGAAUAAUCCCUCCUCCCCCCAGCUCUGCCUGGGUGUGAGAUUUUAUUGUGCAUGCAGGUGGUAUGAUACAGAACAGUGUAUGCUGAACUCCAUGCUGCUCUACACCAUGAGGCAGGAAGGCCAAGUUGUUGAGGACAACAGCACAUUUUACUAAGUCCCUGAAACCUAUCAUUGUUCAUAAUGUCACACCAUGGAAAACUGGAAAAGCAGAACAAAUGCAGGCUUUCCUAUCGAAAUGUCUACUGCCUUCAAAAAGCAAACGCAUAGUGUCCUUUUUCAAAGAAAUAUGAAAACUCAUAGAAAUGCUUAGACCCCUAAGAACAUGCCCAUCAGUUUUUCAUAUUUGCAGGCAAAACUGAAUAAAUGUCUUUGGAUUCAUCUAGCAUGCCCCACCACCCCCAGCUUUUUGUCUCUUUC